CGAGGCUCUAGCCCAGGUGAGAACGUGGGGCUCCGAGAAGGGCCCACGCGGGGUGGGCGCCGCGGGGCAGCCCCGGCCCGACCCGCUCUCCCCGGCUCCCACCUGCAACCCCGGGCGGGCCAACAGGUAAAGCCAGGACUUGUCGGGGACGCUGCUGGAGAGAUGCGGGCGGGUGUCCGGCCAGGUGAGCCUCCAGCCCCCUCGGGAGAGCGCGCUCGCUGGCGUCCGCAGCAGCCCCUCGGAGACAGGAAGCGCGAGGCGCAGAGUGAGCGGCCCAGGAGACACGUGAGCUGAGAGGGCCGCGCACCCCGCGCGCCCUUUAACCACACCUGUCGGAUCCUCAGCCAACAUUUCACAGAUGAAGAGAAGGAUUCUGAGGCCGUGGUCCUCCCGGACGCACAGCUGAGUGUAAAUUCCACCAAAGCAGUGAUUUCUGUCCAUUUGGUCCCUUCAUAUCUCCAGCACCAAGCACACAGUCCCUAAGAACAUGGACUUGGAUUUUUUUCUUCACUGCUGUAUCCCCAGAACCUAGGACACUUCAGAAAUGUCUGUCGAGUGAACCAAGACAGUCCCGUAAGUCUGUCGCACAUCUAAUCCCUUCUUGGCAUCUGCUUCUCUGAAGAUGAGAACCACACAGGUACAACUUCAUGGGUUGUUCAAGCAUUAAAUGAAUUAAUUAGUACAGAACUUAGAAAAGUGCCUGGAACUGAGUAGAUAUCUCUGACCCCCAACCCCAUGGAGCUCCUUCUUAGGGAAUUCAUCGCCUGUCUGCAGAAGACCUCUGUGACCUUCAUCGACCAGGGCUUCUUAGGUAUCCUGAGAAGGCUAUGCUCCCUCUGACCACAGGCCCUUUGCACCCACUGCUGCCCUUGUUGUGGACACUGUGACCCUCCUUCCCCAUUAGCUCCUACUCAUUCUGUGCAUCACAUCUCAAAUGCCACUUCCUCAGGGAAGCCUUCCUGGACUCCUUCCUAUGCUCUCCCAACACCAUGUACCUCUCCGUCAAAGCAUUCCUCAAGGUUUGUCCACUUAUGUGUGUGCUCAUUUAGAUCAUGCUUGUCCCUCUGUAGCAAAGUCCUCACAUACUCACUCUCCCCUUCCUAGAACUCCCAGUUCUCAGCAGAGCAGAGUUGCCCUGAAGAAAGCUUGCAUUUCACAGCCUCCCUUGCGGCUGACCAGCAGGAAGUGUGGGCAGUGGCUCUGAGUUCCCUGCAAAGGGAAGGGCAGCCUCUUUCCAAGUCCUUCCUCUGUGCUGGCUGGAAGGCAGGACGCAGACAAGGGUGGGGAGUGACAGGUACAAGGUAUCCAGACCCCGACAGUGUCCCGGAGCAGAGCUGCCUCUCCAACGUGGGCUUUCAGGAGAGAAAAUAAAAGUCUCCGUUGUUUAA